rnacentral:rRNA from 1 species
AGUGAACGCUGGCGGUAGGCCUAACACAUGCAAGUCGAACGGCAGCACAGUAAGAGCUUGCUCUUACGGGUGGCGAGUGGCGGACGGGUGAGGAAUACAUCGGAAUCUACUUUUUCGUGGGGGAUAACGUAGGGAAACUUACGCUAAUACCGCAUACGACGUACGGGUGAAAGCAGGGGAUCUUCGGACCUUGCGCGGUUGAAUGAGCCGAUGUCGGGUUAGCUAGUUGGCGGGGUAAAGGCCCACCAAGGCGACGAUCCGUAGCUGGUCUGAGAGGAUGAUCAGCCACACUGGAACUGAGACACGGUCCAGACUCCUACGGGAGGCAGCAGUGGGGAAUAUUGGACAAUGGGCGCAAGCCUGAUCCAGCCAUACCGCGUGGGUGAAGAAGGCCUUCGGGUUGUAAAGCCCUUUUGUUGGGAAAGAAAAGCAGCAGGUUAAUACCCCGCUGUUCUGACGGUACCCAAAGAAUAAGCACCGGCUAACUUCGUG